GGGGCCGUAGCUCAGUUGGUUAGAGCAGGCGACUCAUAAUCGCUUGGUCGCGGGUUCGAGUCCUGCCGGCCCUA
rnacentral:tRNA from 1 species